UACAGAGGGUGCGAGCGUUAAUCGGAAUUACUGGGCGUAAAGCGUGCGUAGACGGUCAUGUAAGUCGGAUGUGAAAGCCCCGGGCUCAACCUGGGAAUUGCAUUCGAGACUGCAUGGCUUGGGUGCGGAAGAGGGAAGCGGAAUUUCCGGUGUAGCGGUGAAAUGCGUAGAUAUCUGGAGGAACACCGGUGGCGAAGGCGGCAUCCUGGACCAACACUGACGCUGAUGAGCGAAAGCCAGGGGAGCAAACGGG
rnacentral:rRNA from 1 species